UGUAUUACUAUUACUAUUCACUUGAGUCCUACUACUGGUUCAUUGUUUAAUGUUACAAUACAAUCAUUAUGUAUCAUCAGUAUAAUAUAAUGAGUGGGUCUGUAUCUAUUCAUUAUAUUAGGAGAUAUAUGAUCUUAUGUUGGACUGUUGGGCCAUUAAUCCUACUAACAGACCUAAAGCUAUUGAAAUAUCUAAUGCGGUGGCUUAGAUAUAUGGACCCCUGACCUAUCAGCACAAAUUGAAGUCCAAUCACAACAUCCUGAUUAUCAGAAUAUGUCCACCAUAUUGGAAUCGGCUAGGAAA